rnacentral:lncRNA from 1 species
UUCUCGUUCCCAUCCAUAUAAUCCGUCGCACCAAUCGAAAACCAAUGAUUUUUAUUAUUUUCUACGAUCUUUGUUUAUCCUAAUCGACAAUCAUAGAAAACUACAUUCCUUUUGAUAUUUCUAUAUUUUGUCUCUUCAAUUGUUUCCCUUUUUCAUGGAUCUAACAUUAUAGGGGUUGAUGACAAUAAUACUUACGACGUGUUUCUAACCUUUAAUAUGGAAUCUACAGCGGAGGAACCUUUCUACAACUCUAUAGUAAUGGUUUGUUAUAAAGCACAACUAGAGUUUACGCCAUAGUUUAUUACAUUUGCUUCAUUUUUAGAUUUUAUUGGCAUUCUUUUUAUAUGCCUUUUUCUCAGCAGGUGCUCGCCAAUAGCGUGAGCCGAAUGUGUGUUUUUUAGGUUAUAGGCCAUUUAUCCGGAAGUAGGGGUGACUAUAUGUUGAUAUACAUGGAUAUGGUAACUUGGAACUAUGUAUGCAUGGAUACAGUACAAAACGUGUUUAGUAUAAAAACAAUGAGAACAAAUAUUGGCCAUCUAUUAUCAAAUGAUGGUAUUAAUUACCGGUAUGUUUGGCAAAAGUAGCUGGUGACUGUAGCUUUUUAGAUAUAUGGUGUUUGGCAAAGUAGUUGG